rnacentral:rRNA from 2 species
UGGGGAAUAUUGGACAAUGGGCGCAAGCCUGAUCCAGCCAUGCCGCGUGUGUGAUGAAGGCCUUAGGGUUGUAAAGCACUUUUGUCCGGGAAGAUAAUGACUGUACCGGAAGAAUAAGCCCCGGCUAACUUCGUGCCAGCAGCCGCGGUAAUACGAAGGGGGCUAGCGUUGCUCGGAAUCACUGGGCGUAAAGGGCGCGUAGGCGGACUCUUAAGUCGGGGGUGAAAGCCCAGGGCUCAACCCUGGAAUUGCCUUCGAUACUGAGAGUCUUGAGUUCGGAAGAGGUUGGUGGAACUGCGAGUGUAGAGGUGAAAUUCGUAGAUAUUCGCAAGAACACCAGUGGCGAAGGCGGCCAACUGGUCCGAUACUGACGCUGAGGCGCGAAAGCGUGGGGAGCAAACAGG